UUGGACAAUGGGCGAAAGCCUGAUCCAGCCAUGCCGCGUGUGUGAAGAAGGUCUUCGGAUUGUAAAGCACUUUAAGUUGGGAGGAAGGGCAGUUACCUAAUACGUGACUGUUUUGACGUUACCGACAGAAUAAGCACCGGCUAACUCUGUGCCAGCAGCCGCGGUAAU
rnacentral:rRNA from 1 species